rnacentral:rRNA from 1 species
UACGGGGGUGGCUAGCGUUGUUCGGAAUUACUGGGCGUAAAGGGCGCGUAGGCGGUCUGCUAAGUUGGAUGUGAAAACUCUGGGCUUAACCCAGAGCCUGCAUUCAAUACUGACAGGCUAGAGUUCUGGAGGGGAUAGCGGAAUUCCUGGUGUAGCGGUGAAAUGCGUAGAUAUCAGGAGGAACACCGGUGGCGAAGGCGGAUCUCUGGGCCGAUACUGACGCUGAGGAGCGAAAGCGUGGGGAGCGAACAGG